rnacentral:rRNA from 1 species
AACGAACGCUGGCGGCAUGCCUAACACAUGCAAGUCGAACGAGACCUUCGGGUCUAGUGGCGCACGGGUGCGUAACGCGUGGGAACCUGCCCUUAGGUUCGGAAUAACUCCCCGAAAGGGGUGCUAAUACCGGAUAAUGUCUUCGGACCAAAGAUUUAUCGCCUUUGGAUGGGCCCGCGUUGGAUUAGCUAGUUGGUAGGGUAAAAGCCUUCCAAGGCGACGAUCCAUAGCUGGUCUGAGAGGAUGAUCAGCCACACUGGGACUGAGACACGGCCCAGACUCCUACGGGAGGCAGCAGUGGGGAAUAUUGGACAAUGGGCGAAAGCCUGAUCCAGCAAUGCCGCGUGAGUGAUGAAGGCCUUAAGGUUGUAAAGCUCUUUUAACCGGGAUGAUAAUGACAGUACCGGGAGAAUAAGCUCCGGCUAACUCCGUG